rfam:Prevotella sp. S7 MS 2 contig071, whole genome shotgun sequence.
GCAGUGUCUCGGUACUGUCGCUGGCAAUAUAUUGCAAGAGGAAAGUCCGGGCAGCACAGAGUAUUCCACUUCUGAAACAGAAGCUAUUGGUGACAGUAGGAAUAAGUAGAAGAGAACAACCGCCACUUCGGUGGUAAGGGUGAGAAGGCAGGGUAAGAGCCUACCAGCUGUUGGGUGAUCAACAGGCUGUACUUUCUGGAAGCUGCAAGUCCAUGUAAACCGUAGUCAAAGAGUUACUCGCUCAAUAGCAUAUACUAACUACGGAGGGUAGGAUGCUAGAGAUGUAGGGCGACCUGCAUAGUAGAUAAAUGACAGUAGCUGUUUUUACAGUUUAACAGAACCCGGCUUACAGGGACACUGCUUUC